GAUCAAGCUGUUAAGGGUAUGUGGUGGAUGUCUUGGCGUCAAGAGGCGAUGAAAGACGUGGAAACCUGCGAUAAGCCUAGGGGAGCUGGUAAACAAGCUUUGAUCCUAGGAUUUCUGAAUGGGGAAACCCGGCACUUCGUGUGUCAUCCGUACCUGAAUGUAUAGGGUACGGAAGCGAACCUGGCAAACUGAAACAUCUAAGUAGCCAGAGGAAAAUAAAGAAACCUCGAUUCCGUCAGUAGCGGCGAGCGAAAUCGGAAUAAGCCCAAACCACUCUUCGGAGUGGGGUUGCGGGCACCAAUAUGACAUCCUUUGAUCUGUUUUGAAUAGUCUGGAAAGGCUAACUAUAGAAGGUGACAGUCCUGUACGAACAGAAAUUUGGAAUCUAGGUGUACCAGAGUAGCGCGGAGCUCGUGAAACUCCGUGUGAAGCUGGGGGGCCCACCCCCCAAGGCUAAAUACUACUUGACGACCGAUAGCGUAUCAGUAGGGUGAUUGAAUGAUGAAAAGUUCCCCGACAAGGGAAGUUAAAAGUACCUGAAACCACAUACUUACAAGCGGUCGGAGCCAUUCCUCGGAAUGGUGACGGCGUGCCUUUUGCAUAAUGAGCCGGCGAGUUAAUCUUCGUGGCAAGCUUAAACUGUACACCAGUGUAGGCGUAGGGAAACCAAGUCUUAAAAGGGCGCCAAGUCGCGGGGAUUAGACGCGAAACCGAGUGAUCUACCCAUGGUCAGGUUGA
rnacentral:rRNA from 1 species